rnacentral:rRNA from 1 species
UACGUAGGCGGCAAGCGUUGUCCGGAAUUAUUGGGCGUAAAGGGAGCGCAGGCGGGAAACUAAGCGGAUCUUAAAAGUGCGGGGCUCAACCCCGUGAUGGGGUCCGAACUUGUUUUCUUGAGUGCAGGAGAGGAAAGCGGAAUUCCCAGUGUAGCGGUGAAAUGCGUAGAUAUUGGGAAGAACACCAGUGGCGAAGGCGGCUUUCUGGACUGUAACUGACGCUGAGGCUCGAAAGCUAGGGUAGCGAACGGG